CCUGAGAUAGUCUGCCUCACUAAA
rnacentral:piRNA from 1 species